UACGUAGGCAGCGAGCGUUGUUCGGAAUUACUGGGCGUAAAGAGUGUGUAGGCGGUGCUCUAAGUUCGGUGUGAAAUCUCCCGGCUCAACUGGGAGGGUGCGCCGAAUACUGAAUGACUUCGAGUGCGGGAGAGGAGAGUGGAAUUCCUGGUGUAGCGGUGAAAUGCGUAGAUAUCAGGAGGAACACCGGUGGUGUAGACGGCUCUCUGGACCGUAACUGACGCUGAGACACGAAAGCGUGGGUAGCAAACAGG
rnacentral:rRNA from 1 species